rnacentral:rRNA from 1 species
CCUACGGGCGGCAGCAGUGAGGUAUAUUGGUCAAUGGGCGCGAGCCUGAACCAGCCAAGUCGCGUGAGGGAAGACGGUCCUAUGGAUUGUAAACCUCUUUUGUCGGGGAGCAAAAGACGCCACGCGUGGCGUUCCGAGAGUACCCGAAGAAAAAGCAUCGGCUAACUCCGUGCCAGCAGCCGCGGUAAUACGGAGGAUGCGAGCGUUAUCCGGAUUUAUUGGGUUUAAAGGGAGCGUAGGCCGGUCUUUAAGCGUGCCGUGAAAUUUUGUGGCUCAACCAUGAGAGUGCGGCGCGAACUGGAGACCUUGAGUGCGCGGAAGGCAGGCGGAAUUCGUGGUGUAGCGGUGAAAUGCUUAGAUAUCACGAAGAACUCCGAUUGCGAAGGCAGCUUACUAAACUGCCACUGACAUUGAUGCUCGAAAGUGUGGGUAUCAAACAGGAUUAGAUACCCUAGUAGUC